UACGGAGGUGGCAAGCGUUGUUCGGAAUUACUGGGCGUAAAGGGCGCGUAGGCGGCAAGGCAAGUCAGGUGUGAAAGCCCCGAGCUUAACUCGGGAAUUGCAUCUGAAACUGCUGUGCUUGAGUUCUGGAGGGGGUAGUGGAAUUCCCAGUGUAGCGGUGAAAUGCGUAGAUAUUGGGAGGAACACCUGCGGCGAAGGCGGGUUGCUGGGCUGACACUGACGCUGAUGCGCGAAAGCCAGGGGAGCGAACGGG
rnacentral:rRNA from 1 species